GUUCACCUACCCCACUCAACUUUAGGAGAAAUUAUUUGCUCCUCCAAAGGUGAGGAGUAUCAAUAAAAAGCAGCACGUAUUAAAAAAAAAAGCUGAGUCAGCAACCAUACUUGCUAUAAUACUUCAGCCUUUUAAAAACAAAUAUUGAAAUACACUUUCACUUCUAAUCUUACUUAUUAGCUGCUUCACCAAAAAUUCUAAAACCCAAAAGUUUCCAAACCGCCCAGCUCUCUUCUCUCUCCCUCCCUGCAUCAUUGAAGAAAUUUUUCUUUGCAUGAACAAGUUUUAUGAGAUUUUGAACUAACUUUGUUCUUGGGUCAAACUUUUUCUAGCUUGUUUCCCCCUCUUCCCCUAUGACUGAAGUAGUUGUUGGAAUCCAAUACUUACCAUCACAACUAACCAUGGUUGAUCAAGGAGCAUACAAAUUGGACCAAUGAGGAUACACUACAUGACCAUCUUGGAGAUGGGACAUUUGUUGCGGUGUUAUCGUUGGUAGAGAUGCAGAGUGUCUUGGUUUGCUGCUUUGUUUAAGAGAGUAUGUUAUUUGGGUUCAAGCUUACAUGUUUUUGGGCUACUGUUUACUAUGUGAUGAAGUAGAAAUGUUUGUAUCAGAUGUGUGAACUGACAAGAUGCUGAAUUAGUGAAUGCAUUGACAAAUGGAAAAAGCUACUUUGCUGAGGCAGGAUUAAUUUUGGUUGAUAUUAGGUGACUCAUGUUAAACUUUGAAUCAAUUUCCUUUCAUGUAGUGUAAAAAAACUUGUAACUAUGCAGCUAGUGAGUUGUAAAAUUUUCUCAAGAAAAGGAAGAGCCUUUGGUGGGAAUUAAAGGAAUGUUCUUUGUUUUUGUUAGCCAUUGUACUGAAAGAUAUUUCUCAAUAAAUCAAGUCUUUAGUUUUACAA